rnacentral:rRNA from 1 species
UACAGAGGUCUCAAGCGUUGUUCGGAUUUACUGGGCGUAAAGGGCGCGUAGGCGGCUUGACAAGUCACUUGUGAAAUCUCCGGGCUUAACUCGGAACUGCCAAGUGAAACUGUCAUGCUAGAGUGCAGAAGGGGCAAUCGGAAUUCUUGGUGUAGCGGUGAAAUGCGUAGAUAUCAAGAGGAACACCUGAGGUGAAGACGGGUUGCUGGGCUGACACUGACGCUGAGGCGCGAAAGCCAGGGGAGCAAACGGG